rnacentral:lncRNA from 1 species
CUUUCGGGUAUUUGAAGAACCUCCACAACAUAGUAUCUGAUGCUGCAUUACAUUUUGAGUGGAAAACCCAAGAAUAUGUAACACCCGAGAGAAUAAAUUUGUUUCUCAUGUAUAUCUAAUUUGCUUUUGCCUUGGGAGCCUUCUUCUUGUGUUGCCUCCGUGGAAGUGAGUUCUUCAUCCCAAUAAAGAAAAGCAAUGCACCAAAGAUAGCAAUGCUCUGCGAUAAGAUGGAUGAAAAAGUAUUAAAAAAAAAAAACACCUAUUAGUAUCCACCAGUAGAAUCACAAACAUGCAGGAAAAGAAAAAAAUAGCAGAUGCAAAUUCAAACAAACCUGCAAGAACUCGUUUAAGAGAGGAGUGAAUUCAGGGUGCUUGGGGCUGUAGUUGUAGAAAUCAUACAAAAGUGGAGAGCUAAGCGCCACAUAGACAAGCUGCAUAACAGAGGAAUAACAGAUAAUAAUUAAUACGAGUACUCAUUGAGCAGAAAAAAAAGCAGUAGCUGCUAGCUGAAGUUGAGCUGUAUCUUCUUCAUGCUUGUGAGGUAAUUAAUUAAUUAAGAUCCAAAAGGAAGAAAAUCCCUCACCAGGAGGAAAGCUCCAAAGGAGUUGCCAAAUACAAAUAGAAACCCUCCAACUCCUUUCAGAAAGAUAUUUGU